UACGAAGGGGGCUAGCGUUGCUCGGAAUCACUGGGCGUAAAGGGUGCGUAGGCGGGUCUUUAAGUCAGGGGUGAAAUCCUGGAGCUCAACUCCAGAACUGCCUUUGAUACUGAGGAUCUUGAGUAUGGGAGAGGUGAGUGGAACUGCGAGUGUAGAGGUGAAGUUCGUAGAUAUUCGCAAGAACACCAGUGGCGAAGGCGGCUCACUGGCCCAUUACUGACGCUGAGGCACGAAAGCGUGGGGAGCAAACAGG
rnacentral:rRNA from 1 species